CCAUUUGUCCCCAAUUUUUGCAUGUGAUUACUUGUGUAUGUCUAGUUUCACCAUGAUUGUUUGUAGAAUUUGUUGAGCCAUUUCCUAUUUUCUUGGGAUUUUUGUUUGCUGUUUACCAUUUUGUGAACUUUUCUUGAGUGAUCAACUUACAUGACUUGUAAAAUUCUCAUACCUUAUCAUAUGAAGAUAAAAUUUGGUGGAGUGUUU
rnacentral:lncRNA from 1 species